rnacentral:lncRNA from 1 species
CCUUUCUCUCCAUACCUCAUCACAUAGUCUCACCUCCACCCAUUUUUCUUCGUACACCUCUUCUUCCCUUUUUUUUCAACUCAUCGGGAAACCCAUUUAUGUUUUAUAUCAUUUAUCUCGCCGGAAACACAUCUAAUCUUUUUUCAACAAUCAUUCAUCUCGCCGGAAACACAACCACUCUUUCUUCUACAAUAAUCAUUCAACAAUCAUUUUAAAAGUUGUACUUUAUAUCCAAUUUUUUUCCAUAUUUCUUUCAUUUCAUACCUUCAACCUACAACGUACACGUCUUUAUCUUCUUUUUUCACCUCGCCGGAGUUGCUGCAGCCCAUUGCGACUGUCACCUAUUUUCUUCAACUUUCACCUAUUUUUUUCAACUUUCACCUCUCUGUCGGUAUGUGACUCUCUUUCGUCUUCAUAUUCGUUUUUUUGUCAUGUAUGAAUCUCUAUAUUUUCAUCCGCAAAUCUAUUACCUUCUUCUCAAUUUAAGGAAUCGUUGUUCAAUUUGAUCCUCUUGGUUAAAUUUUGUUUGAUGAAGUAGUUCACGUACUUGAUGAAAUAAAUGUUCCUGAGGUAAAAAUAUAUGUUCCUGAAGCUGUUGAAAUCAUUGUUCCUCAAAUGGGUGAACCGGUUGUUUCUCAAUCGGUUGACACCCCUUUUUCCUCAAAUGUCUUCAACCAAUGUCCUUAAUUGGUUGAUAUCGUUGUUUCUAUAAUAGUUUCAACCAACGUUCUUUAAUAGGUUGAAACCAUUUGUUCUUGAAUUAUAUAAAACCGUUGUUCUUCAAAUGGUUUCAACCAUUGUUUCUAAAAUGAUUGAAACCGUUGUUUCCUGAAUUGGUUGAUAGCGUUGUUCCUAAAAUGAUUUCAACCAACGUUCCUGAAUUGAUUGAGACCAUUGUUCUUUAACUGUUUGACACCUUUAUUCUUCAAAUGGUCUCAACCAUUGUUUCUAAAACGGUUUCAACCAAUGUUCCGGACAUGUUGAAAUCAUUAUUUCUGAAUUAGUUGGUACCUUUGUUUCAUAAAUGGUUCCAACCAACGUUUCUGAAUUGUUCCAUAAUUAGUUCAUACCGUUGAAACUAUUGUUCCUGAAUUGCUGAAACUGUUGUUCCUCAAAUGGUUUCAAUCAAUAUUCCUAAAACGGUUUCAACCAAUAGUCCUGAAAUGUCAAAACCGUUCCUCAAUUGGUUCAUACUGUCAUUUCUUAAAUGAGGAAUUGGAAAUUCCCGAUUUUGGACGACGAUACCUAAUGUCAGGGUACAUGUUGCUCAUGUCGGAGGGAAUAUAAUGGGUGUGAUAGAAAGGAAGAGAGAGGGAGAGAGAACACAUGGUUGAAACAUAUCAGUUGAAAUGUAAUAUGAAAACUAAUAAUGAAAACGAAUAUGAAAUGUAAUAUCAUGGUGGUGGUGGACAGGCUAUCUAAGUAUGCACAUUUUAGUGCAUUACCUCAUAAUUUUACUACCCCAAAGGUUGCUGAAAUAUUUGUAAGAGAUAUUAUUAAACUCCAUGGCAUACCUACUUCUAUUGUUUUAGAUAGAGACAAAGUGUUCACCUCAAAAUUUUGGAGAGAGCUGCAUAAGCUUAGUGGAACAAAGCUGACUCUCUUUUGAAUAUCAUCCACAAUCAGAUGGCCAAACUGAAGUUGUCAAUAGAAUACUAGAAAUGUAUCUCAGAUCCUACUGCCAUGACAAUCCUAGAAAUUGGUUCAAAUUACUACCAUGGUCAGAGUUAUGGUAUAAUUCAAGCUAUCACUCCUCAUUGGGAAUGACACCUUUUAUGGCAUUAUAUGGGAAGGAAUCCUCUGAAAUUCCACAUUACAGAGAAGGAGAAUCAUUAGUGGAAGCUCUGGAUAUUAAUCUGAAUCUCAGGGAGGAGAUUCUAAAAAAGAUUAAAAAUAACUUGGAGCUAGCACAAAUCAGAAUGAAGGCUCAAGCUGAUAAAGGGAGAUCGGAUAUUUCAUUUGAAGUAAAUGAUUGGGUAUUGGUCAGAUUAAGACCAUAUAGACAAAUUACAGUAGCCCAAAGGAUGCAUAAUAAGUUGGGGAAAAAAUACUUUGGACCUUACAGAGUAUCUAAGAAAAUUAAUCUAGUAGCUUACCAGCUAGAAUUACCACUGAAAAGUAAAAUCCAUCCUACAUUUCAUGUAUCCAAGCUCAAAAAAUUUUGUCGAACACCACCUGAAAAUCAAGACAUGGGAGAGCUACUGAUUUUAGUAGAAAAUAACCCUAUAAUCUAUCUGAUGGCUGUAUUAAAACGCAGGUUUGUUUGGCAAGGAGGUGGGGAAAGAGAGCAAUGGUUAAUUAAAUGGUGUGGCACCAUACCUGAGGACGCUUCUUGGGAGGAUGCUGAAGCCGUUCGAAAGUUAUUCCCGUCUAUCAACCUUGAGGACAAGGUCGACUCUCAAGGAGGGGAAGAUGAUGCGAUUUCCCUUAGUUAUCCGGUACUGAAGGCUGAUAUUGGCAACAUCGCCGGAGCGGCUGACCUAAUCGCUGAAGGAAAGGGGAGCGACGAUAAUCAACCGGUAUCUGCAAUUGAACACGGUCCAAGCAACGACUGUAGGCCGAGGCGAAUCCCCAAAGAACCAGCUUGGAUGAGGGAUUUUGAAAUUGGCUACAAGCCUAAUAACAACGCAAGUAGCUAAAUGAACCAUAAUUGAAUUUGGGUUAUUUUAUUAGUAGUCCCUGUUUUAAAUUUAAAUCUCCAAAGAACUCUAAGUAUAAGAGAUGUAAUUUCAUUUGAGAAUAAUUAAUCAAAUUUUUCAUAAAACAUUCCACACAUCCUUUCACCCCAAUCACGAUUCAUCUUCCAACAUUCCUGCCGUCGCCAAAAUCAUCUCAUCAGGAUCAUCAUCGGAUCUCGCGCCCAGUUCAAUUCUCUGCUGUAUCAAGUUCUCGACUGGAUAGCUUAACAGUUAAUAUCCUUUAGGAGCUAAAUCUUGAUUUCAGGGGUUGACCCCGCUGUGUUCUGUCUCGG